AUGCUCAGUGCGCGGCCGAAGGCGCGCGCCCGGGCGCAGCACCUGCGCGUCCCUGACUGUGGGAGAAGGCCCCUAAUUGCUGCUAACAGAGGUGCAAAAGGGCGCGUCGCCUGACUCCCAGACACCCGAAGACUAUCAACAGGACACCCCCAGUUCCUGUGCAGGGGUGUAGUGUAGAGGAUGUGCUGCUCAGCGAUGGACGGAGAAUGUACCAAAGCGAUACCGCCUUCCUUUGCAUCCCGAGUAUAGGGGCACAAGGAGGCGCGACCUCCUGGAGUACCCAAGCCCCUGGCCUCAGCGAAGAGCAGAAUUUGAGGCAUUAUUAAGGCACCUUGGCUUAAUACUGGCUUAACUGUUAUGUUAUGAGGCUGAGGGUUGCCGAGUUCAGGGGAACAGAUGGGGGGCGCGGGGCGGGGGGAGGGGGGACAUUGAACUUGGGAAGCCGAAAGAGGGGGCUUUUGGACGGUUUUACUUACUGGUCCUUAGGAGGAGGACGUUGGCCAGACAGGCGCGUUAAGGAUCUGGAGUCUUACUCAUAGGAGGGGACUUUCAAGCCGGAAUGUGUGUGUGUGCGAGAGGAAACGGUUGCGAUGAAAUAGAAACGGCUCUUUUCACCCCGACUCCAAACCUCAGGGUAACCGUAAAAAUUGGCAGCAAUGCCCCAAACCCUCACCAACCCUGUGUAAAGUGCGUGUGACAGGCAGAGAAAGCCAGCCAGCUCGAACUCAUCUGGAAUGCAGUUCCAGCAAUCCCAAGAGGGACCAGUUCCUCUCCCAGGGAAAAAGCCCCAGGGGCUUUGCUGAACCCAGGUCUUCCUGAGCAUCUCUCAGCAGUUUAGAGCUACAUAAACAAGAAAAGACAUGAAGCUCACUGCCACCUCUGCCAAGAAAGGAAGCCUCUCACUGAAGCUCCAGGAUUGGAGAGUGUUCCUGGGAGAACCAGUCCCUGCCAGGAGACAAGAAUGGUUUAUUUUGACGACAACAUCCUCACACGCGCGCGUCCCCGCAUAUCCGGGACUGGCUGGGUGUCAGUUUUUUGCUCAGGGAAGUUGUCAUUGGGAUUCUCUGGGGGGAAAUGUUCCAAACGAAUCAAUUAACGCUGCCAGCAGCAAGUUUAAUAUCACUGCACUGGGUCCCUACUCUGUAUUAGUGCAUGAAUGAAUUACUGGUGCUCAUGUAAUUUGCAAAUAAUGAUCAUUAUAAGUCAGUGGAAAUUUUCUCCUUCCCUGUUAGCCUAGGUAGCAUCUAAACAGAGACCUGCAAUAACGUCCUGUUCCACCCCCAAAAAAAUUAUUUACACACAUAUGUGAAGUUUUAUUUCCAGUUCUUUUAAUAUAGGAGGAUCUGUGGGGACACAAGGUCACCUCUUGUACUCAUUAAACUAGUUUGAACAGAGGCUGAUAACUCUUAAGGGAAAUCAACGCUGAAAAAUCUUUUGACUUUUUAGAGACAUGUGCAGAAUACAUCAUCAGGUUAGACUCAGCAUGGAACAGUUCUGAAAACUCCAGAAAGGGCAUUUCUGUGAUUUGUUGUUUCUUCCCCACACAUCAUGGGGAUUCGGUAGAAGUGGGUUUAAUAUAAGAGGAGGAAAGAGGAAAAGCAUCACAGAAAAAGAAAUAUGUCUCUUCUGACCACAUCUGACUUGAUAUGAUUUUCUCUGUACAUGUUGCAUCUAGCACCAUUUAAACAAAUUCACAGACACCACCCUCUUUGCUCUAAAGGCCUGAAUAAGGUCAUCCAAUGGCCCCGAUGCCCCAAUCAGAUAACAUAUAAAGUAGUUUUAUAAUUAGCUGUUUAUUUUUAGUGUAUUAGGUAACUGGACAGAUCUUCAGAUACAAAGCACCGCUUGUACCCUAUUCCUGUUUUUAAAAUUGGCUUCAAAUUCUCUUUAAUCAAGUGAAUUAAGCAGUACUUUUUUAAAGAAUUGUGUCAUGAAAAGCUUUGUGUUCAGUGUUGAAAUAGAAUAUAAUAAAACAGAGCUCAGGUAGGGACUUUCAGACCAGCCUCCCUAAGAUUCCUCCUGUGUAAUUGUUCUAGGUGACUGAUGGAUGUUUGAGCUUCAUACUAAGGACAUCAGAAUCAUAAUGGCCGCAUGGUGGGAUAAUGAUAAUUAGCACACAAAAGCACAGUUAAUUACCGUGAGGGUUUCAAUACAGACUGACAGAGAGUCAAAGUAAACUAAAGCCUGACACCCCAGCCAAGACUCCUUUAUGAACAUGGCAGUGAGAGUCUCAUUUAUUCAAGCAUGAUGAACUGAAAUUAAGAAUCAAUCAGCUGUGCUUCAUAUUUUCCAGAUUUUAUGAGAUUCUUUAUACAAAUUGCGAAAAUGAAAGUUUGAGGGCUUCACUUUGCAAAAGUAUUUACAGUUGAUUUUGUUGUUCGCAAUAGCUACAUUCUAUAAAUCUCUGGAAACAUUGAAUUAGUGAAUACUAAAACCAUUGCUCCUAGGAGAAAUAAAGAGUUAGGUUCCUGUGAGCCUCUCCUGACAAAAUUUUCAUUAACCAAUCAAUAAUGAUAAAUAAAAACUUUUGUGUGCAUUUCUGCUUGAAGGCAUCAAAAUUUAACACAUAUUGUUGAUUCAUCAAUACUAAACUCUCAGCAUCACCAUAACUCAUUCCUGAACAAAGCUUUUCUAACACAAGUGUUUUCUCUAUAGGUCACAGCACUGACAUUCCUUGCCCUUAGGACAUUAGAUAGAGCUUCAGCACAAUGCUUUGGGCUAUUUUAAAUGGCAAGAUCUCCAAUAAAAAGAAGAAAAAUAUGGCACCAAAUAGACUGCAACCAAAAAGCAGAGCAUCACCUUUUUAGACUUCAUCUGGGAAAAUGGGCAACUCAAAUUUUUUCCCUGUUCUAUGUCCACAAAGGACCUCGAAAGUGCCACAGGUAUUGAUUUUGGAGUUACAAAUAAAUUUCGUCGGGCUGACAAACAUACAAACAUGGAAUCUGUGAGUAAUGAAGAUGACCAAAACAAAUACUCCCUUUAAAUGGCUAGCCACAUUAGUCCAUAUGGUCUGUGGCUCAAUUUACAGAUAUUUGAUCUACAUGGAGUCAUUUUAGAAACACAUUGAAAGGAAAAACCUUAUAUUUUGUACUAUCAAAGAUGUCUUCUGCCAGCUUCCUCCAAUAAAUUAUAUGUUACAGU
rnacentral:lncRNA from 1 species